rnacentral:rRNA from 1 species
UACGUAGGUGGCAAGCGUUGUCCGGAUUUACUGGGCGUAAAGAGCGCGCAGGCGGUCGUUCAAGUCGCGUGUGAAAGCCCCCGGCUCAACUGGGGAGGGUCACGCGAUACUGAUCGACUCGAAGGCAGGAGAGGGUAGUGGAAUUCCCGGUGUAGUGGUGAAAUGCGUAGAUAUCGGGAGGAACACCAGUGGCGAAGGCGACUACCUGGCCUGUUCUUGACGCUGGCGCGAAAGCUAGGGGAGCAAACGGG